rnacentral:rRNA from 1 species
CAGUCGCCGCGGGAACACGUAGGUGGCAAGCGUUGUCCGGAAUUAUUGGGCGUAAAGCGCGCGCAGGCGGAUCAGUCAGUCUGUCUUAAAAGUUCGGGGCUUAACCCCGUGAGGGGAUGGAAACUGCUGAUCUAGAGUAUCGGAGAGGAAAGUGGAAUUCCUAGUGUAGCGGUGAAAUGCGUAGAUAUUAGGAAGAACACCAGUGGCGAAGGCGACUUUCUGGACGAGAACUGACGCUGAGGCGCGAAAGCCAGGGGAGCGAACGGGAUUAGAUACCCCCGUAGUCCCUGUCUCUUAUACA